UGGGGAAUAUUGCACAAUGGGCGCAAGCCUGAUGCAGCCAUGCCGCGUGUGUGAAGAAGGCCUUCGGGUUGUAAAGCACUUUCAGCGAGGAGGAAGGUGGUGAGCUUAAUACGCUCAUCAAUUGACGUUACUCGCAGAAGAAGCACCGGCUAACUCCGUGCCAGCAGCCGCGGUAAUACGGAGGGUGCAAGCGUUAAUCGGAAUUACUGGGCGUAAAGCGCACGCAGGCGGUUUGUUAAGUCAGAUGUGAAAUCCCCGGGCUCAACCUGGGAACUGCAUUUGAAACUGGCAAGCUAGAGUCUCGUAGAGGGGGGUAGAAUUCCAGGUGUAGCGGUGAAAUGCGUAGAGAUCUGGAGGAAUACCGGUGGCGAAGGCGGCCCCCUGGANGAAGACUGACGCUCAGGUGCGAAAGCGUGGGGAGCAAACAGGAUUAGNUACCCUGGUAGUCCACGCUGUAAACGAUGUCGAUUUU
rnacentral:rRNA from 1 species